rnacentral:lncRNA from 1 species
UCAUAGAAAACUGUCCUCUUCAUACCAACAAAAACAUAGGAAUCUAAGAGUCUGCAAGAUUCUCCUGGACGCGGCUGCACCCGGCCAGGAACCCAAGUAGAGAGCGAGCUGGCAAAGGUGCGUUUUUGAGCCGGUUCCAACCCCGCCAGAUGUUAGCCUCUGGCGACUAACCCCAGCUGGUGCGGAGCGGAGAACUUUGGAAAAGGGGCAGGUUGGGGAUGCCAGGUGGUUUUUAGCCUAUCUGCAGCAACAUUCUGUUCCUUACCAAGGGUAGAUUGCAACCCAAAGAGCAGCAAGGGAGGGCCUGAGAGGCCGGCUAUUUAGUGAUAAAGACCUCUCCCCCUCGCCCAGACUCAUUCCCUUGUAGCAUGGCCAGAAGCCUGAUCUGCCCCUCUUCUGUAGUUACAACUAUUUGCACCACAAUUCCCAUCUGGAUUAACCAAACUUGCUCCAGUCAGGCCUAGGCCAAGUACAUUCAUAGGUUUUUUUCUAGGUGUCUUUCUGACUCCCCAACAGGCAGCCCACCCAGGUUUCCCCCUCCCUAGCCUCUGCAUCCUACACCUUCCCAUUCAAGCGUAUUCAAAAUCCAGGUUCCACCUGUGGCCUCUGCCGCAACGCCACUCUAGCUCUACCAAAGUCACUCCUGCCCCCAAGCUGCCACAGUUAAAAUCUGGAGCCAGGGAGUUUUAACUUUCUGCAGAAGGCUGAAAGCUGAGCUUGUUCAAUGGCCAGGGCAAAGUUUUGUCUGAAACUUAUUUCUGCACAGACUCUCCAGUCAGUUCCAAUUGUGCACAAGAUAGGUUCCCUGAUGAAGCGGCAAAGGGAACAUAUAAUUAUUUAAACUCUACUAGAAGGCUUGUUUCUACCUAGAGUGAGGAGUCUUUCCAAUUUACUUCUACCCCAGCACUGUCAUUUUAGCUAUCAUUUCAGUCUUCUCCUGUUUGAAUUCUCCUGUUUGGAUUCCGACAUUCUCAAGUAAGACUACCUGGACUUUGAAUCUCUAUACCUACUUCAUGUUUGCAUUCUAAAAGGUGUAUAAAGCCCAUUUUCUGCCACCAUUUAUGGAUAACUGUAAUUCCUGACACAGACAUCUGGAAAGAAAAACAAGUUACUACCUCUGCAAAGUUUUCCAACUGCUUUUUAAAAUAUUAAAGAAGGUUGACCUCUUCCAGUUUAAUCUAAGGCUGAUUGUCAGAGAUAGUCACAUUGAAUUAUUUUACUAAACAAAUGUAUUUUAAAGACACAACUGGUCUUUUAAAAACUCAAAUCCCAAUAAGCAUUUCCUAUGUGCCAUGAUGCUUACUCUUUCUUGUCUGAUUAUAGUUAUGUAUUUAUCACCUUAAACCCAAAGACCUCUUGAACAGCAUAUACUCUAUCACGUGUUUUGUAGAUCCUGAAAGCUACCACAGUGCUAUUUGCACAAUAUUUAGUUGCCAGAUUUUUGUUGAAUUAACUCUGGGCAGUCAGCAGAAGAAUUUGACUUUCUUUGUUUCCAAGGAUCUGCCAAGAAUUGGAAAAAGCAUGGUAGGAGAGAAUGAUACCAACACCUUUUCAACUACAAAAAUAGGGAACAAAUUAACUCUAUUCCCCUGCAGAGUUUGGGGGUUUUCCUCUUGAUACAAUUUCUAACUUCUUUCCCCAAAUACAAAUGAGUUUGAUUCAAAGAAAAAUAAGAUUAUAAAUCAGUGUCUUCUUAGAAUAAUUUGAUUUCUUCCUUUUCACUGUGAAUCAUUUUUCAUAACUUUUACAGUCGUUUGAACUCUGGUUUAACUGCUACCUAAGAACUUAGAAGAAUUGGACAGGUUGCUUAAAUUUGUAAAUGUCAGUUUCAUCAUUUCUCAGUUGAGGAAAAUGGACCAUGGGAUUGUUAUGAGGAUAAAAUGAGAUGGUGUAUGUCAAACACACGUCAGUUUAAUCAACAAAUAUUCAUUACGCACUAUAUUAGCUGGCAUCCAGGAUGGUCCUCAACAAUCCCCACCUCCUGGUUGAUCUCUGUAACUAACUUCUAGCUUUUUCUCUCUUUGCUCACUCAUUUUGAGGAACCACAUGGAGCAGCCCAACAAAGAGUUCCACCUGGAAAAGAAUUGAAAACUACUGAUAACAACUACCAAGGAACCAAGGCUUCUUGCAAGUAGCCCUGGCUGUAGGACUUGGAAACCAAUCCUUCUGCCCCAAGCAAGCUUUCAAGUGACUACAGCACCAGCUGAUAGCUUGACGGAAGAACCUUGACCCAGGACCACUCAGCUAAGCUGCUCCCCAAUCUUAAUGCUCAGAAACAGUGUAAGACAAUAAAUGUUUAUUGCUUUAAGUUGCUAAGAUUUCAAAUAAUUUACUUCACAACAACAAAUAGCUAAUAAAUGUACAUUUUAAGCCUCCAGCACUGUGCUAAAUAAAGCAAAGAACAAGGCAUCUUACCAUCAUGAAGCUUAUACUCUAAAGUUAGGAGAGUGAUAAAUGCUCAAUUAAUGGUUUGUUGUUGUUUUGUCACUAAUAUUUUCUAGCAUAAUAUUAUUCAUUUUGUUUUAAAAUAAAAGUCCAAAGUGGUAGCUGGUAAGAGUGGGUAGAAUAUGAAUUUGAGGUUUGGUCAUGUGAAUUUUAAAGUGAGAUACUGUCACUUAUCCACUAAAAUUAGGAAGGAAGGAAGGAAGGAAGGAAAGAAGGGAGGGAGAGAGGAAGGAAUGGAAGAAGGACAAUCCCAAGUGUUACUGAAAAUAUGGAGUAUCUAGAAUUCAUGCAUCAUGGGGCAAAUGUUAAGUGGUAAAAGCACUAUGUAAAAUAAUUUGAAGUUUCAUAUGAGCAUAUACCUACCCUAAAUAUCUAGCCAUUCUAUUAAGUAUUUCCACAGACAAAAAUGAAAGCAUAUGUCCAAAUAACAGUUGUUUACAAAUGUUGAUAGCAGUUUUAUUUACAUUAGCCAAAAGCUAUGGAAAAAAAUCCAAAUAGUCCUCAAUAGAUAAGUAAAUAUUAUUUAAAAUGUAACAUAUUGAAACAAUGGAAUAAAACUCUAAUAAACUAUUAAGAUGUGAAACAAUGUGGAUGAAUCUCAAGAACACCAUGAGGAACAAAAGAAGCCAGACACAAAAAAAGUACAUACUGUAUUAUUAUGGCAUUUAUAUAAAAUUCUAGAAAAUGAAAACUAAUAUAAAAUGCCAACCUAGAUCAAUGGAUACAUCAGCUGGCUUUGGGGAAGAAAUGUAAGGGCACAAUCUUUGGCAAGUGUCAUGAGGGAACUUUUUGAAUAUUAAAUAUCUUGAUAGGGUAGUAGUUACAUGGGUAUAUACACUUAUUAAAUUUAUAAAAUUUCAUAUUUAGAGUGGGAACCUUUUAUUAUAUAAAAUUAAAAAUUGAUAAAAUUAGUUUUUUAAAAAUUAGCAAAUACUAUUCAGGUAAAUACUAUACAGGUAAAUAUAUCCAAUAGGCAGUUGUAAAUUACAUCUAAGGCUAAGGGUCAUGUUGUGGUAGCUGGUUAGCAAAUAUUUGUUGAGUGUCUGUUACCUGCCAGGCACUGGGUUACUUUGCUGGGAUGACAAGAAGAAACAAGACAGCUUCUAGUCUAACUAGAAGAAAGGUAGUUAUUAAAGGGAAUUACAACAGUCAUAUGAUAGUGGGAUAUAACUUUUUCUCUAAUCUAGAAGAUCUUUAAAGCAGCUAACCUCUUUGUCCUAUAAUGCAUCAUUCAAGUGACCCUCUGAGUUAUUUAUAUAUAGACCAAAUAGCAAAUUAGAUUUUAUGCAAAAACCAGACAUUGGGAAGAGAGCUCAAUUUGCAUAAGGAUAUCAGAGCUCUCUUGGAAGGGAAGCACUCAGACCUCAAUCCAUGCUUCCCCAAAUUUGAAUUUAACGAUAUUUUCUAGAGAUUGUAUAUCCCUGCUGUAAGGAAAGGCUACAUUCAAACCAUUCAAAAAAACCUGAGGGCCUACAAAAUUCUAUGACUGUUAGUUUAGAAUUCAAUAAUCUUUAUAAUCAGAACCAAAGUCACUAUGCUACAAUCUCUCAAAUUUCCUAUUACCAUUUAAAUUGAAGUUAUAUUCUCCUUCCAUUUUUUUUAUUAAACUGCUUAGCUCAUUUAUGUUUAAUGUAAUUAUAAAAUGAUUAAAUUUAAAUCUGCUACUUUAUUGUUUCCUGUUUCUACAAACUGAUUUACAUUCCUCUGUUCCUG